rnacentral:rRNA from 1 species
GACGGAGGGUGCUAGCGUUGUUCGGAAUUACUGGGCGUAAAGGGCGCGUAGGCGGCUGCUCAAGUCGGGUGUGAAAGCCCGGGGCUCAACCCCGGAACGGCACCCGAGACUGGGCGGCUCGAGACCGGGAGAGGUGGGUGGAAUACCCAGUGUAGAGGUGAAAUUCGUAGAUAUUGGGUGGAACACCGGUGGCGAAGGCGGGUCUCUGGGCCGAUACUGACGCUGAGGAGCGAAAGCGUGGGGAGCAAACAGG